rnacentral:rRNA from 1 species
CAGAGGGGGACAACAGUUGGAAACGACUACUAAUACCGCAUAAAAUAACGGAAUCGCAUGAUUCUGUUAUCAAAGGAGAUAUCCGCUGAAAGAUGGGCUCGCGUCUGAUUAGAUAGUUGGUGAGGUAACGGCCCACCAAGUCGACGAUCAGUAGCCGGACUGAGAGGUUGAACGGCCACAUUGGGACUGAGACACGGCCCAGACUCCUACGGGAGGCAGCAGUGGGGGAUAUUGGACAAUGGGGGAAACCCUGAUCCAGCGAUGCCGCGUGAGGGAAGAAGGUUUUCGGAUUGUAAACCUCUGUGGACAGGGACGAUAAUGACGGUACCUGUCAAGAAAGCCACGGCUAACUACGUGCCAGCAGCCGCGGUAAUACGUAGGUGGCGAGCGUUGUCCGGAAUUACUGGGUGUAAAGGGAGUGUAGGCGGGAAGGCAAGUCAGAAGUGAAAAUUAUGGGCUCAACCCAUAACCUGCUUUUGAAACUGUUUUUCUUGAGUGAAGCAGAGGCAAGCGGAAUUCCUAGUGUAGCGGUGAAAUGCGUAGAUAUUAGGAGGAACACCAGUGGCGAAGGCGGCUUGCUGGGCUUUUACUGACGCUGAGGCUCGAAAGCGUGGGGAGCAAACAGGAUUAGAUACCCCGGUAGUCCACGCCGUAAACGAUGGUUACUAGGUGAGGGGGGAUGAACCCUUCCGUGCCGGAGU